CGGACCGGCGCACGGGUGAGUAACGCGCAUCCAACCUGCCUUACACUCUUGGACAGCCUUCUGAAAGGGAGAUUAAUACAAGAUGUUAUCAUGAGUAAGCAUUUUCACAUGAUUAAAGGUUUACCGGUGUAAGAUGGGGAUGCGUUCCAUUAGAUAGUAGGCGGGGUAACGGCCCACCUAGUCUUCGAUGGAUAGGGGUUCUGAGAGGAAGGUCCCCCACAUUGGAACUGAGACACGGUCCAA
rnacentral:rRNA from 1 species